AGCAGUGUGGCUCUGUGGAAAGAGCUUGGGCUUGGGACUCAGAGAAUGAGGGUUCUAACCCCAUCUCUGCCA
rnacentral:tRNA from 1 species